rnacentral:rRNA from 1 species
AACGAACGCUGGCGGCAUGCCUAACACAUGCAAGUCGAACGAGACCUUCGGGUCUAGUGGCGCACGGGUGCGUAACGCGUGGGAACCUGCCCUUAGGUUCGGAAUAACUCCCCGAAAGGGGUGCUAAUACCGGUUAAUGUCUUCGGACCAAAGAUUUAUCGCCUUUGGAUGGGCCCGCGUUGGAUUAGCUAGUUGGUAGGGUAAAAGCCUACCAAGGCGACGAUCCAUAGCUGGUCUGAGAGGAUGAUCAGCCACACUGGGACUGAGACACGGCCCAGACUCCUACGGGAGGCAGCAGUGGGGAAUAUUGGACAAUGGGCGAAAGCCUGAUCCAGCAAUGCCGCGUGAGUGAUGAAGGCCUUAGGGUUGUAAAGCUCUUUUACCCAGGAUGAUAAUGACAGUACCGGGAGAAUAAGCUCCGGCUAACUCCGUG